GCCGCCGUAGCUCAGCUGGCAGAGCGCCGGCCUCGUAUGGCCUCUAGGGAGCCCGAGGUCGGGGAGAGCCGGUGGUCGCGGGUUCAAAUCCCGCCGGCGGCU
rnacentral:tRNA from 1 species